rnacentral:rRNA from 1 species
UUGAACGCUGGCGGCAUGCCUUACACAUGCAAGUCGAACGGUAACAGGUCUUCGGAUGCUGACGAGUGGCGAACGGGUGAGUAAUACAUCGGAACGUGCCUAGUAGUGGGGGAUAACUACUCGAAAGAGUGGCUAAUACCGCAUGAGAUCUACGGAUGAAAGCAGGGGAUCGCAAGACCUUGUGCUACUAGAGCGGCCGAUGGCAGAUUAGGUAGUUGGUGGGAUAAAAGCUUACCAAGCCGACGAUCUGUAGCUGGUCUGAGAGGACGAUCAGCCACACUGGGACUGAGACACGGCCCAGACUCCUACGGGAGGCAGCAGUGGGGAAUUUUGGACAAUGGGCGCAAGCCUGAUCCAGCAAUGCCGCGUGCAGGAUGAAGGCCUUCGGGUUGUAAACUGCUUUUGUACGGAACGAAAAGCCCUGGGUUAAUACCCUGGGGUCAUGACGGUACCGUAAGAAUAAGCACCGGCUAACUACGUGCCAGCAGCCGCGGUAAUACGUAGGGUGCGAGCGUUAAUCGGAAUUACUGGGCGUAAAGCGUGCGCAGGCGGUUUUGUAAGACAGAGGUGAAAUCCCCGGGCUCAACCUGGGAACUGCCUUUGUGACUGCAAGGCUAGAGUACGGCAGAGGGGGAUGGAAUUCCGCGUGUAGCAGUGAAAUGCGUAGAUAUGCGGAGGAACACCGAUGGCGAAGGCAAUCCCCUGGGCCUGUACUGACGCUCAUGCACGAAAGCGUGGGGAGCAAAUAGGAUUAGAUAUCCUAGUAGUCCACGCCGUAAACGAUGGUCACUAAGUGUCGGGGGUCAAACCCCGGUGCUGCAGUCAACGCAAUAAGUGACCCGCCUGAGUAGUACGUUCGCAAGAAUGAAACUCAAAGGAAUUGACGGGGGCCCGCACAAGCGGUGGAGUAUGUGGUUUAAUUCGACGCAACGCGAAGAACCUUACCAAGUCUUGACAUCCCUUGACGAUGCUGGAAACAGUAUUUCUCUUCGGAGCAAGGAGACAGGUGGUGCAUGGUUGUCGUCAGCUCGUGUCGUGAGAUGUUGGGUUAAGUCCCGCAACGAGCGCAACCCUUGCCAUUAGUUGCUACGAAAGGGCACUCUAAUGGGACUGCCGGUGACAAACCGGAGGAAGGUGGGGAUGACGUCAAGUCCUCAUGGCCCUUAUAGGUGGGGCUACACACGUCAUACAAUGGCUGGUACAAAGGGUUGCCAACCCGCGAGGGGGAGCUAAUCCCAUAAAGCCAGUCGUAGUCCGGAUCGCAGUCUGCAACUCGACUGCGUGAAGUCGGAAUCGCUAGUAAUCGUGGAUCAGAAUGUCACGGUGAAUACGUUCCCGGGUCUUGUACACACCGCCCGUCACACCAUGGGAGUCAGUAACGCCCGAAGUCAGUGACCCAACCGUAAGGAGGGAGCUGCCGAAGGCGGGACUGAUAACUGGGGUG